CUACACUUUCCUCUUCUCCCCGACCGGAGGAGCCGCUCUUUCCGCGCGGUGCAUUCUGGGGCCCGAGGUCGAGCCCGCCGCUGCCGCCGUCGCCUGAGGGAAGCGAGAAGAGGCCGCGACCGGAGAGAAAAAGCGGAGUCGCCACCGGAGAGAAGUCGACUCCCUAGCAGCAGCCGCCGCCAGAGAGGCCCGCCCACCAGU
rnacentral:lncRNA from 1 species